CAGAUGAAUCCAACAACUUGAUAAUCGGAGACGUGUCGUCCCAUUAGCAGUAUCUAUAAAGCCGGAGGGGCACACAGCCAGCUCUCUGGGCUUGGUUGUGCGGUUGCCACAGCGACAAAACCGCUGCUUUCUCUGUUUCUCAUUCAUGGGGGAAGAGGAAUUCUCAAGAUGAUGGGUCUUCUAUAAAACUGACACUGCAACUCUUUGCUUUUCUAUUCACACUUUACUCUCCUGUGCUUAGAUCCAAGGAGGACUUUUCAUUGCGAAUAUUCAGACAAAUAAAGCCAAACUCUCCUAUGAGUCACCGUCAGGCUCUCUCCAGCCCGCACGGAGCAAUGGGCGUCACUUGUGACCACUAGCACAGGAGCAGUACCAAUGAGGGCAAGAGAAGUCUCUAUCGUGAGAGGCAGAGGUAUGGGCUGGGACAGCCUGCUGCUAACCCUAAGACUGACUGCUGUUGGACAUACAGUCCAACUCCAAGGAGGCAACACACAGUAUUGUUUCCUGAGAUUGGAUGUGGAGACAUUCUCCUGGGGCCCUGAGUGCUGUAUUCAGAAAGCAAGAAUCAUUGAUGUUUGCAGUGCAUCCAAGCCUCCGCUGAAUAUCUGAAUCGUGAUUAUUGAGAGCAUCCCGUAUGAGCCCCAGUACAGCUUGCUUCUGGGCGGCAAGAAGGAGGCCUAGUUGACUCCUGAGGAGAAAGACUUUAAAUAACAAGUCAGAGAAAAUGCAAAAGAAAUACAAUGAAAGAAAAAAGAACACCCAAAUCAGCUGCCUUCUAGAGGAGCUGUUCCAGCUGGGCAAGCUUCUUGCCUAUAUUGCUCAAGACUGGGCCAGUGUAGCAUUGCCUAGGGCUAUGUGCUAGAGGGUAAAGAGUGGGCGAUCAUCUGAGAAAGAUUAACGCCCAGAGAAGCAAAUCAGUCAUCGUCCACAGCUCAUAUAAUAGAGGUGCUUUUUGUUCUGGGUUUUGUUUGUUUAUAAGGGGUCACCCUCUUUUUGGACACCUGGAUGAUUUGGGGGGCUUGAAGAAUGUACUUUAUUCUACUUGAGGCUGUUCGGUUUCCUGAUAAGAAUUUGUUGCUUAUUUGGAUAGAAUGAGGGUGUAACAAAAUUUCACACUAUAGCCCGGGCUGGCCUCAGCCUCCCACAUGCUGUGAUUACAGACAGGUACCACCAUAUACAGCAUAUUGUAUGUGUCUAUAACAUUAUUUAUUAUGUAAACUUGUUUUAAAAAAAAUUGAAACUUGUGUUUGGAUCAUA